AUUGAACGCUGGCGGCAUGCUUUACACAUGCAAGUCGAACGGUAACAGGCCGCAAGGUGCUGACGAGUGGCGAACGGGUGAGUAAUGCAUCGGAACGUGCCCAGUCGUGGGGGAUAACGCAGCGAAAGCUGCGCUAAUACCGCAUACGAUCUAUGGAUGAAAGCGGGGGACCGUAAGGCCUCGCGCGAUUGGAGCGGCCGAUGUCAGAUUAGGUAGGUGGUGGGGUAAAGGCUCACCAAGCCAACGAUCUGUAGCUGGUCUGAGAGGACGACCAGCCACACUGGGACUGAGCCACGGCCCAGACUCCUACGGGAGGCAGCAGUGGGGAAUUUUGGACAAUGGGCGCAAGCCUGAUCCAGCAAUGCCGCGUGCAGGAAGAAGGCCUUCGGGUUGUAAACUGCUUUUGUACGGAACGAAACGGUCCUGGUUAAUACCUGGGGCUAAUGACGGUACCGUAAGAAUAAGCACCGGCUAACUACGUGCCAGCCGCCGCCGUAACAC
rnacentral:rRNA from 1 species